ensembl:lincRNA Gm42914 predicted gene 42914
AAGUAGGAGAGCACACAUUGGGAGGCUCAACCGCCAUUUCCCUCUUGGCUCUCUUAGAGGGUAGGCAGAUCUGGAUUCUAAGCCAUUUCACAGCAAACACGUGUCUCUAACCACCAGCAUUGGCUUAAUUGGGGCUGCUUCCAAACCAGGUCCUCUCCUGCCUGCUACUUCCUAAAAAAGAAGCAAAACCACCGAGGAUUUUGCUGUAGGAUCGGAGGAAACCCCAGGCUUUGUCCCUUGAGAAUGGGGUUCUCCAAAGAAACCCACGUAAGUCACUACAGACUGUUGCCAUGGGGACAGCAUACCCUCACAGGCAGCCAAAGGCAAGACUGAGGAUGGGUCAUGUGACCAGACGGCAGCCAGUGGUCCCUGGCAGUUUGAGAGAGAGAAUCCAAAAGAUGGAGAGAGUGGAAACAUCAAAAGAUAAAACACGCAAGAGACACAGGAGAAGAGUUCUGGGGACCACAGGAGGAAGAGCAGAAAGGACAUCUGGCGAGCACGUGAAGGAAAGACAUCGCACUAACAUGUGGAGGAGAAGACAGCGGGAGGGGGGCAGGGGGAAGCACGCGGAGGAGAGGACAUGGGGCGAGCGCGUGGAGGAGAGGAUAUUGGGCAAGCGAGUGGAGGAGAGGACAUGGGGCGAGCAGGUGGAGAAGAGGCCAUUGGGUGAGCAUGUUGAAAGAACAUCUGGCGAGCGCUUGAAAGCAAGAAAGACAAGCGUAGGGCAGAAGGAGCGAGCAUGAGCUAGCAGUGCGCCAAGAGAAUGAGAAGGAUGGAGAGCUGUUCCUAGCAAAACCAGGGGAAGGGGGGACCUAAUAAGAAGCAAUUAGAAGGAAAGUGAAAAGACUUAUUCUAGGAGUUUGGUGUUAAAAAGCAAAUGAAGUGGAAAUUUUGUAAGUGUUAAACUCUACCCAAAAACAGUAUGAGGGGAAAUUUUCACACAGUAUAACUUAAAACAAGU